UUUACCCUGUUAUAAAUGUUUUUCUUUUCCUUUUCAGGAAUCUUUGUAAUAGUUUACCCUUGGCUACUGAAGUCUUUGACCAAAGCUGCUUUCAGCCCAAGGGCUGCCUCAGAAACUAGGGAAACAUUUGAGAGGCUCUCAGCCCAGUGGACCCUCUGAAGUGUGGCAGCUGCAGACAGUGGAUUCCCGAUCCUUCUUCUCUGCCUUAGAUAGCAGGGGGAUUGUCCUGAAGCACCAGCCAAAACAGACAGCCUACUCCUCAUCUUUGCAGUGGAAACUAAAAAAGGAAGCUGGUGGAACAGAUUCACAGGACACGAACCAGCUAGGUGAAGAAUUGGAAAGGAACUUUUCCAGUCUCCAUUUUCUUCAUAUUAUAAGGGGGGAAAAUAUGGAAUCUCCAUCUAUUCUGUGAAGGGGACCGACAGCCAAUCCCAGGAGGGAGCAGUUCUCUUCCCUAGUCCUGCCGGAUUCUGCCCUUCUGCCUCGGCUCAUCUUCUUCCACUGCCCAGGAGCACUGCCCUUGUUGUUUCUGAGAGGUGGGCAAACAUCUCUUCAUUUUCUUGUGUCUUCUUGGGGUGCUUUAUUACUUUGAAAUGG
rnacentral:lncRNA from 1 species